rnacentral:rRNA from 1 species
UGAGGAAUAUUGCGCAAUGGGCGACAGCCUGACGCAGCGACGCCGCGUGGGGGAUGAAGGUCUUCGGAUUGUAAACCCCUUUCGGGUGGGAAGACGGCCGUCGACAACGACGGCGGACGGUACCACCAGAAGCAGCCACGGCUAACUUCGUGCCAGCAGCCGCGGUAAUACGAAGGUGGCAAGCGUUGUUCGGAUUUACUGGGCGUAAAGGGAGCGUAGGUGGUGCGGUAAGCCCUCCGGGAAAGCUUCAGGCUUAACCUGAAAAGGUCGGGGGGGACUGCCACGCUAGAGGACGGGAGAGGAGCGCGGAAUUCCCGGUGUAGCGGUGAAAUGCGUAGAGAUCGGGAGGAAGGCCGGUGGCGAAGGCGGCGCUCUGGAACGUUUCUGACACUGAGGCUCGAAAGCGUGGGGAGCAAACA